rnacentral:rRNA from 1 species
UGGCUCAGAGCGAACGCUGGCGGCAGGCUUAACACAUGCAAGUCGAGCGGGUGUAGCAAUACAUCAGCGGCAGACGGGUGAGUAACGCGUGGGAACAUACCUUUUGGUUCGGAACAACCCAGGGAAACUUGGGCUAAUACCGGAUAAGCCCUUACGGGGAAAGAUUUAUCGCCGAAAGAUUGGCCCGCGUCUGAUUAGCUAGUUGGUGAGGUAAUGGCUCACCAAGGCGACGAUCAGUAGCUGGUCUGAGAGGAUGAUCAGCCACAUUGGGACUGAGACACGGCCCAAACUCCUACGGGAGGCAGCAGUGGGGAAUAUUGGACAAUGGGGGCAACCCUGAUCCAGCCCAUGCCGCGUGAGUGAUGAAGGCCCUAGGGUUGUAAAGCUCUUUUGUGCGGGAAGAUAAUGACGGUACCGCAAGAAUAAGCCCCGGCUAACUUCGUGCCAGCAGCAGC